CAGUAGCCACGGUAAUACGUAGGUGGCAAGCGUUGUCCGGAAUUAUUGGGCGUAAAGGGCUCGCAGGCGGUUUCUUAAGUCUGAUGUGAAAGCCCACGGCUCAACCGGGGAGGGUCAUUGGAAACUGGGAAACUUGAGUGCAGAAGAGGAGAGUGGAAUUCCACGUGUAGCGGUGAAAUGCGUAGAGAUGUGGAGGAACACCAGUGGCGAAGGCGACUCUCUGGUCUGUAACUGACGCUGAGGAGCGAAAGCGUGGGGAGCGAACAGGAUUAGAUACCCCGGUAGUCCCUGUCUCUUAUAC
rnacentral:rRNA from 1 species